GGAUGUUUAGCUCAGUUGGGAGAGCAUCGCCUUUACACGGCGGAGGUCGGGGGUUCAAGCCCCUCAACAUCCACCA
rnacentral:tRNA from 2 species